CAACCCUCAAGCUCUGCUUGGUAUUGGGCCCUGCCCGCUGCGGCCCCUAAAGACAGUGGCGGUGCCGCCUGGCCCUGAGCGUAGUACGUCUCUCGCUCCAGUGCUUGGUGGUAGCCUGCCAGAACCCCAACUCUCGU
rnacentral:misc_RNA from 1 species